rnacentral:lncRNA from 1 species
AAAGCCAUACCUGACCGAAAAUCAUGAGUUUACAAUGUCACGAAGCCGUAUGAAGUCAGAAGGACCAAGUUUAGGCAAAUUUAUGCAUUAACCAUCACUCCC